rnacentral:lncRNA from 1 species
UUCAUUGAAGAUUUAUGAGAGAAUGAAAUACAAUAGGAAAAAUCUGAGACACAGUUUUGGAGGUCAAACUGUGCUGUGCAAGAAUCUAUAAAAUAUUUUGGGAUGCUAUGAAUAACAAAGAAGCUAAAUUCAUUCAAGUAUGGACAUCACAAUAUAGCAACUAACUACAUAACAAUUAAUUAUGUAAUUAUUAUGUCAUAAUGAAAUUAUCACAA